UGAUAGCGAUGAAGCGCGAGGUUGCUGCCCGCUGUGGCAGGUUUUUCCGUGGAGCGAAUGUCAAGUUAGGAAACUGGCGACAA
rnacentral:ncRNA from 1 species